UCGCCCCACUGAAAAGCGUUUGUUUACAAUAGCCGUUUUACUUAAUAUUCUAGUUCCUUGCGGCGUUGUUCUAGUAACCAUUUGAUCUUUUGUUGAGGUACGAAGUGACGAGUGUUAUAAAUAACGGGUUUAAUCUGACACUAGGUAAUAUUUUAUAAUAAUAUCGAAAAUGUGUCUCAAGUACACCAAUGCCUCAUGUAAAAAUAAUUUUUCUUGCUGAUUUGUAUUACCACGGUAACAGGGAUGAAAAAUAAUAUUGAU